rnacentral:rRNA from 1 species
AGAGUUUGAUCAUGGCUCAGGACGAACGCUGGCGGCGUGCUUAACACAUGCAAGUCGAACGGAAAGGCCCUUCGGGGUACUCGAGUGGCGAACGGGUGAGUGACACGUGGGUGAUCUGCCCUGCACUUUGGGAUAAGCCUGGGAAACUGGGUCUAAUACCGAAUAGGACCACGCGCUUCAUGGUGUGUGGUGGAAAGCUUUUGCGGUGUGGGAUGGGCCCGCGGCCUAUCAGCUUGUUGGUGGGGUAAUGGCCUACCAAGGCGACGACGGGUAGCCGGCCUGAGAGGGUGACCGGCCACACUGGGACUGAGAUACGGCCCAGACUCCUACGGGAGGCAGCAGUGGGGAAUAUUGCACAAUGGGCGCAAGCCUGAUGCAGCGACGCCGCGUGAGGGAUGACGGCCUUCGGGUUGUAAACCUCUUUCAAUAGGGACGAAGCGCAAGUGACGGUACCUAUAGAAGAAGCACCGGCCAACUACGUGCCAGCAGCCGCGGUAAUACGUAGGGUGCGAGCGUUGUCCGGAAUUACUGGGCGUAAAGAGCUCGUAGGUGGUUUGUCGCGUUGUUCGUGAAAACUCACAGCUUAACUGUGGGCGUGCGGGCGAUACGGGCAGACUAGAGUACUGCAGGGGAGACUGGAAUUCCUGGUGUAGCGGUGGAAUGCGCAGAUAUCAGGAGGAACACCGGUGGCGAAGGCGGGUCUCUGGGCAGUAACUGACGCUGAGGAGCGAAAGCGUGGGGAGCGAACAGGAUUAGAUACCCUGGUAGUCCAA